UGGAUAGAGCUACCGAUCUUCUUGAACUCGAAGAAAAAACAACAGUCGGACAGUGAUUUCAACACAUGACGAGUGUAUUCUCGUCCUCUGAGUAUAUGAGCAUCCAUCUAGUACUUUUUGAUAAAAUUCAUCUUUCCUGCAGGUGCUCAGUUCAUGUCCCAAGAAGCUUUACUAAACUUGGAGGAGUCCUCAUCAGGUCAAAUGGAUCAACCGCAAGAAGCAGAGGAGGAGGCAAAGGUCCCUCUAUUUCCCAGAAGCACUGCAGUGAUCCGAGUGCUUUUGCGGGAAAGUGAAUGAUCAGAACUUUGAAAUCAUCCUGGCUCUUGGCGUGGACAGCAAAUCUACCGACCUGAACCAAACUCCACUCCUGGGUUUGGCCAUUUUGUCCAAGUUGUUCCACGUGGUGAAAUUCUUAAUGAAUAAUGGCGUGGAUGGGCGUGCCACCGACAGCCAAGGGAACACCAUCCUUCACAUGUUGGCCAAAUGUGGGUAUCACAGAAUCAUCAUGAUGGUCAAAAAUAUUUGGCGGUUAUUGGGUAAAGAAGUGGCGAAUCCGGACUUGCAUUGGAUGACAUUAAAUGUUGAGAGACAUUCACCAAUUGGAAACACCAUCUAUGAGAGCAACGAACCUGCCACUCGAACCCUUCUAAAAUAAUUGGGCCCAACCGAAUUUAAAAGUCAGCGUGUGGUUUACAUGGCGGUAAAGAGAAAUUCUAUUGGAGGCUUAAAAGCUCUGAUUACUUGGCAAAAGAAGAACAAGUCAUCGUAAUCGAUUUUGAUAUCAAGGCCUGAAAGGUCUACACGAACGCCCUUGGAGGUGGCUCUCGAACAGAGGCAUUCAGAAGCCUUGGAGUUAUUGCUCGCAACAGAGGUUGUGGAUCAGAAUUCAAAUCUAGUUCCAUCCCUUGCCAGUUACGGCAAGCCGGAAAUGAUUGAGCUUAUGUGGCCACGCCCUAAUGAAACCUGAGUACCUCCAAAAAAUGGUAAGAGCUGCUGAGCUCAAGGGAGUUCUUAAGUUUCGUACCGACAACAGACGGGCACAAUAUUUAAGAGUCCACCUUAUGUUAGCAUUUGCCAAUGAUAUGGCCGUAGAAGCUCAACUUAUCCUUGACUAUGUACAACAAUAUUCGCCAAAGGAUGCAGAGGCCAUGGAAAAUCAUUACCGGACAAUUCUCCUACCAUCGAAUCAAAAGGGAAGCUGCCUUUUAUCUGAUUCUAAUCCAAAUACAUCACCCCUUGUGAUGAGCAUGUCAAAUGAAAGUUUCCGAAAAGAGAGUACCUUAUCAAUAUAGAGGGGAAGUGCCUGAUGAAGAUCCUAGGGACAGUGGACGAGUCUGAAGGACGAGCUCACCAUACCUCAAAAACACUAGAUCCCCAGAGCCUACAAAUUUGUUUAGGACCUGGGAAGCCCCAAAACACUACCUUGGAACAUUAUUUUAAGCAAUUGAUGCGAAGGGGAACCCUAAGCCAACGGAUCCUAAGCCUUGAAUCAAAGGACGACCGGAAUACGGUUUUGAAGUGGCAUCGGGAGUGGGCGAUGCAGGUGUUUGACCUUCAAAUCCUUCAUCAAGUUACCGAUGCCCUUGGCACUCUGCCGUUAGAUCAAAGGCAAAACAUCAUUUGCGAAGCCUCUGGAGAUUGCACUCCCGAUGUUGAAACGUCUCAUGGAUGCCUUCAACACGCCGUCAGCUCUUAAAAGAGAUUGUUUGUCAAUGAACUUGUUCACCAAGAGCAUCUCUGCCACAAGAAUGAUGAAAUCAAGGGUACCAAGUGCGUAAAGAAACAACUUACACACGAGAAUAACAUCAUGUAUACCAGUGACAUGUUCAGCUCGUUCUACCCAAAAUCAGCUUGGGGAAAAUUGCUUUCGUUUUUGUUUCUCACGCUAGUUCCUUCCCUUAUCGGAGCCGCCUUGAUAUGCUUGGAUAUUUGGCAAGACAUGAUAUUAACUGAAGAGUACGACAGUCUGAGAAACAAUUCCAACAACAGUGUAGAAACGUCCCACAAAUAUGACGUUGCCUUCCGAAUUCGCUUUGCCAGCCAAUUUCUGCAUUUAAUCACCUCAAUUCCCAUCUGCAUAUGGAUUUGCUGCUCCUCUUGGAGGCAAACCUUCAACCUUUGUCGAUCUGGUGGUGCCACGAGUACUCUUGACAAUCUAGUUACAUUUCUUGUGAUCCUGCCACCCAUUGUGUCUGCCCCUGCCAUUUACUGUACACGGGGGCUUUCGUCCACGUCCACAGCAUUGGGUUUCAUGAUGAUGUCCAACGCGUUCUCGGCCACUCUGAUCAUCUGUCUUUCCAUUUCUCGUAUGGUCACAACAACCAAAAUUGUCUUCGGACACGACCAGAAGAGAUCUCAAAACAAUUGACACCUCCACCGAAUCGAACGACUGCUGGCCAUGACAACCAUUGGCGAAUCGGGACUUGAGGCCAUUGUUCAACUCGUUCUCUUGGCUAUUGUCGGAGGAAAGUUUUACCGACCGUUUGAAGCAGAGUGGGUUCGUUUGGGGAUCGUUACAAACCAUGGCGGCACUCUUCACCACCGAGGAAAAUGCGAGCCUGUUUCAAGUGUGGCUCUUGUCCAAGCUCAUCCUUUCGUGUUUGUCCAUCAUCCUAAGUGUGAGUAAAAAUUACCGACACCUGAGAAACAAUAGCGUGAAAUUGCCACAUCUGGCCUUCAUCUAUGUGUCCCUCACGUGCCAGAUUUUGACACCAAGACGACUAAGGUGUUGCACAGCAUACCUUUGGAUUACAGACCUUGUAUUUCAUAACAAGUCUCCUUAUUAGCAUCUUGUGGACUUGGAUCUCUUCCAUUUGCGCUGGCAGUCCGGUACAAAGUGGAACCAUGAUAGAGAUCCCUGUGUUACUUUUUGGAAGCCUUGUAUGUCACAUCAUCUACUUUGCAGUUUAUGGACAUCCUUGGAAGGUCAUUGUGCGAAUGAAUGCAUGGAACAGAUUCCAAAAGGUGUGAUCGGAAUUUUGCACAUGCCUUUCCAAUAGGCUUCAAAAUCUAAGAUCUCUCUUUUAAUUGAAUUUUCCUGGAGAAAAACCCUGCACGUUUUUUAUGUUUGAAAAUAAAUGAUAAUCAUUUAAAAAAUCUGAUGCUUUUUUUGAAGAAAGGAAUAUAUUUUGCCCCGUUCAGAAAACUGGGGCAAGAUUUGAGAA